GACGAACCGUGCGAACGUUGUUCGGAAUCACUGGGCUUAAAGGGCGCGUAGGCGGGCGCACAAGUCAGGGGUGAAAGCCCACGGCUCAACCGUGGAAGGGCCUUUGAUACUGUGUGUCUGGAGGGAGGUAGGGGCGUGCGGAACUUCCGGUGGAGCGGUGAAAUGCGUAGAUAUCGGAAGGAACACCGGUGGCGAAAGCGGCGCGCUGGACCUCUUCUGACGCUGAGGCGCGAAAGCCAGGGGAGCAAACGGG
rnacentral:rRNA from 1 species